GUAGGUGGCAAGCGUUGUCCGGAAUUAUUGGGCGUAAAGCGCGCGCAGGUGGUUCUUUAAGUCUGAUGUGAAAGCCCCCGGGCUCAACCGGGGAGGGUCAUUGGAAACUGGGGAACUUGAGUGCAGGAGAGGAAAGUGGAAUUCCACGUGUAGCGGUGAAAUGCGUAGACAUGUGGAGGAACACCAGUGGCGAAGGCGACUUUCUGGCCUGUAACUGACACUGAGGCGCGAAAGCGUGGGGAGCAAACAGGAUUAGAUACCCUGGUAGUCCACGCCGUAAACGAUGAGUGCUAAGUGUUGGGGGGUUUCCGCCCCUCAGUGCUGCAGCUAACGCAUUAAGCACUCCGCCUGGGGAGUACGGUCGCAAGACUG
rnacentral:rRNA from 1 species